rnacentral:rRNA from 1 species
CCUACGGGAGGCAGCAGUGGGGAAUAUUGCACAAUGGGGGAAACCCUGAUGCAGCGACGCCGCGUGAGUGAAGAAGUCAUUCGUUAUGUAAAGCCCUAUCAGCAGGGAAGAAAAUGACGGUACCUGUAUAAGCAGCCCCGGUUACCUCCGUGCCAGCAGCCGCGGUCAUCCGGAGGGGGCGAGCGUUGUUCGGAGUGACUGGGCGUAAAGAGCACGUAGGCGGUGUUGUAAGUCAUUAGUCAAAGACUAGAGCUCAACUUUAGUAAGGCUAGUGAUACUAUAAGACUAGAGUAUGAGAGAGGAUUGCAGAAUUCCUGGUGUAGCGGUGAAAUGCGUAGAUAUCAGGAGGAAUACCGUUAGCGAAGGCGGCAAACUGGCUGGAAACUGACGCUGAGGUGCGAAAGCGUGGGUAGCAAACAGGAUUAGAUACCCGUGUAGUC